rnacentral:rRNA from 1 species
GACGAACGCUGGCGGCGUGCUUAACACAUGACAAGUCGAGGACGGGUAACGUCCCGGUUUCGGGGUACACGAGCGGCGAACGGGUGAGUAACACGUGGGUGACCUGCCUUUAGCUCUGGGAUAAGCCUGGGAAACCGGGUCUAAUACCGGAUAUGACUCCGCGGCGCAUGUUGUGGGGUGGAAAGCCUUGUGCGGCUGGAGAUGGGCCCGCGGCCUAUCAGCUUGUUGGUGGGGUGAUGGCCUACCAAGGCGACGACGGGUAGCCGGCCUGAGAGGGCGACCGGCCACACUGGGACUGAGACACGGCCCAGACUCCUACGGGAGGCAGCAGUGGGGAAUCUUGCGCAAUGGGCGAAAGCCUGACGCAGCGACGCCGCGUGA